UGGGGUUGUGGUGGGUUGAUGUUCUGUGGGUUAGUGGUGGUGUUUUGAAGGGGAGGAGCUCUACUUGGUUUGGAAUAAUUGGCAUUGGGUGGUAGUUAUGGUGUUGGCUAUUCGUUACGGUUCUUUACAAGCAGCAGCUGUGGUUGUGGCGGGUCAAUGAUCUAUGGGGUUUGAACUAUAUGAAUACUGGUGUAUGAAGCGGACUUGGUUUUCUUGUGUGGGGAAGAUGGAAAUAUGGUGCGGUGUUAGUAGGUUGGGGUACAUGAUAUUGUGGGAUUUUGAUCAAGAUUUUAUGGAAGCAGAAGGGAAUUAUCUGUAUGGUUGCCUUGCCCUCUAGCGUGGGAUGGAACAACUGACUAGUCUAUGGAAGCUGAGGAAAAAUAUUCCACUUCAUUCUGAAGUUGUGACAUUUACUUGUCGAUGUAAUCUCCUCAUGCAGAUUUGCUAACUUCAUUUUAACCCCUUUUAGAGCUAGGUUUAGGUCUUUAGUUUUGGUUAUUAUGUGUAUAGUGUAGAAUGUCUAGUGGUCUAUGGAUACAGAUUUCUGUAGGAUUCUUUUCUAUUCUUGGAUUCCAUCUUCCUUAAUUUUCAGUUUCCAAUUUAGUGUCCUUAUACAUAGUCCUAACAUUGGUCGAUGUCUUUGUUCUUUAGUUUGGAGAUCCUCAAUUUCUUCCCUAGUUGGUCAUCCUCUUCCGUCAAUCUCUUUGCUUGGUCUGUCUUGCCUUCAUUGGCUUCUUUCCAAUCAACAACUCUCGCCUUCAUACUGAUGUAACUUUCUUACUUUCUUGUUCUAGUUACAAUCUGACUCCCUUGCUGCACUCUGAUAAAGGGUGUUUCUACUUCGCCCAUCUUUUCUGUUUUUUUUGAAAGAAAAGAGGGAAGGGGUAGUGGUUGUUGUUCAUUCCUACUUCUUCUUCAAUGUCUCUUGUUUUAGAGGGUCAAUCUGUAUUUCCUUGUCACGUAAGAUUUCCUUUAUCGAAAUCUUGUUCUUGCAAAUGAACAGCGCGCCUUAUUCCUGUGUUCAUAUUGUUUCACUCCAUGGAGAUGGUUGAUUUCGCCAAGCCAGCAACAAGGUGCAAGUUGGAAGAUCCAAGGCUGUUUUGCUAGCAGUGAGUUUCUGCAGUGAAUCUAGUUCUUUAUGUGGUAGUAGUCUCUUGAAGGAUCCGAAUGCAGUUCUAGUAUAUAAUCAUGAUCAUCAUGAUGUCUGUGUCUGGUGUUUUGUGCUGUGUACUAGGCGUUUAUCGAAUCCCAUGGGGAAAUAUGUGUAAUAUGCAUUUUAUGGUUUGUUUUCUUGAACUUCAGUGUUGUCGUACUUGGUUGUUAAUUUAUCAGCAGUGUUUCUAUUACUAUUUAUUUUA